UUUUUUUUUUUUUUUUUUCAUCUAAAUUAUCCCUUACAUAACAAUGUGUGGCCAAAAAUCUAGCACAUGCUAUUUCCUAAAAUUAGUUUUUGUACAAAUGUGUUUUUUAUUUAUCACAGCAGUGUGAAACUGGCUGCAAUAGUGUCUGAUCAUUGAGGACUGUGUUGGUUAAAUGAAAACUAAUAGCAUUUUCACAAAUAUACGUAUCUGUGAAAAUG